UUAUUUACCAAAGACAUCCGAUAAAAGUGAAAUGAUACAGAGAAGAUUAUCAUGGCCUCUUUGUAAGGAUGACAUGCACAAAUAAAAAAAUGGUCCAAAUUCAU